rnacentral:rRNA from 1 species
GGACCCGCACAAGCGGUGGAUGAUGUGGUUUAAUUCGAUGCAACGCGAAAAACCUUACCCACCUUUGACAUGUAUGGAAGAUCGCAGAGACGCGAUUGUGCUCGAAAGAGAGCCAUAACACAGGUGCUGCAUGGCUGUCGUCAGCUCGUGUCGUGAGAUGUUGGGUUAAGUCCCGCAACGAGCGCAACCCUUGUCAUUAGUUGCUACAUUUAGUUGGGCACUCUAAUGAGACUGCCGGUGACAAACCGGAGGAAGGUGGGGAUGACGUCAAGUCCUCAUGGCCCUUAUAGGUGGGGCUACACACGUCAUACAAUGGCUGGUACAAAGGGUUGCCAACCCGCGAGGGGGAGCCAAUCCCAUAAAGCCAGUCGUAGUCCGGAUCGCAGUCUGCAACUCGACUGCGUGAAGUCGGAAUCGCUAGUAAUCGUGGAUCAGAAUGUCACGGUGAAUACGUUCCCGGGUCUUGUACACACCGCCCGUCACACCAUGGGAGCGGGUUCUGCCAGAAGUAGGUAGCCUAACCGUAAGGAGGGCGCUUACCACGGCAGGGUUCGUGACUGGGGUGAAGUCGUAACAAGGUAGCCGUAUCGGAAGGUGCGGCU